rnacentral:rRNA from 1 species
GCUGUCGUCAGCUCGUGUUGUGAAAUGUUGGGUUAAGUCCCGCAACGAGCGCAACCCUUAUCCUUUGUUGCCAGCGGUCCGGCCGGGAACUCAAAGGAGACUGCCAGUGAUAAACUGGAGGAAGGUGGGGAUGACGUCAAGUCAUCAUGGCCCUUACGACCAGGGCUACACACGUGCUACAAUGGCGCAUACAAAGAGAAGCGACCUCGCGAGAGCAAGCGGACCUCAUAAAGUGCGUCGUAGUCCGGACUGGAGUCUGCAACUCGACUCCAUGAAGUCGGAAUCGCUAGUAAUCGUGGAUCAGAAUGCCACGGUGAAUACGUUCC